CGAACGCUGGCGGCGUGCUUACCACAUGCACGUCGAACGCCGAGCGAUGGAAGCUUGCUUCUUUCAACCUUAGUGGCGAACGGGUGUGUAACGCGUAAUCAACCUGCCCUUCAGAGGGGGACAACAGUUGGAAACGACUGCUAAUACCGCAUACGCUCUAAUCUCGGCAUCGAGGAUAGAUGAAAGGUGGCCUCUACAUGUAAGCCAUCACUGAAGGACGGGAUUGCGUCUGAUUGGCUAGUUGGAGGGGUAACGGACCACCAAGGCGAUGAUCAGUAGUCGGUCUGAAGAGAGGAACAGCCAACUUGGAACCGAGACGCCGCCCAGACCCCUACGGCAGGCAACAGUGAGGAUUCGUCCGAAAUGGACGAAGAACUGGCUGAGCAAGGCCGCGUGGGUGAUGACGGCCUUCGGGUUGUAAAGCACGGUUAGUCGGGACGAAAGGCCUUCUUGCGAAUAAUGAGAAGGAUUGACGGUACCGGAAAAGAAAGCCACGGCUAACUACGUG
rnacentral:rRNA from 1 species